rnacentral:rRNA from 1 species
AUUGAACGCUAGCGGGAUGCCUUACACAUGCAAGUCGAACGGAGUGGCGAACGGGUGAGUAAUGUAUCGGAACGUGCCCAGUAGCGGGGGAUAACUACGCGAAAGCGUAGCUAAUACCGCAUACUAUUGGAGCGGCCGAUAUCGGAUUAGCUAGUUGGUGGGGUAACGGCUCACCAAGGCGACGAUCCGUAGCUGGUUUGAGAGGACGACCAGCCACACUGGGAUUGGGAACGGGCCCGGCCCCUUCGGGGGGGAAGCAGUGGGGAAUUUUGGAAAAGGGGGGAACCCUGAUCCAGCCAUCCCGCGUGUGCGAUGAAGGCCUUCGGGUUGUAAAGCACUUUUGGCAGGAAAGCGGUACCUGCAGAAUAAGCACCGGCUAACUACGUGCCAGCAGCCGCGGUAAUUC